GACAAGGUAUGUGUCCUUGCAGUAUACAUUUACAUUGCUGGAUACUGAAUAAAGUAACACAAAGAAUAUACCGUGUUUCCCCGAUAAUAAGACCUAUCCCGAAAAUAAGCACUCCCCUUACUGUGUAAGAUUCUUCUAAAAUAAGCCCUCCCCCGAAAGUAAGCCCUAUUGAGAUUGCUACUGUAGUGAAGGUGAUCCCCUGCGCUACACGCUACAUUAUGGUACCCUCUGUAUGCACCAUCCUUCCCCCCCCACCAGGUGAAAUGCACGCCGCGCUCCGAGUUGCAUCCAAUCAGAGCUGCAGCAGUGAGCGCGUCAUCCUGUUCUUCCCCAGUGAUUUGCUUGCUGGCGCCAUUGAGAGCAGUGCCGGGAAGGAGAGAUGAGGCAGGACAACAUAAAAACUCGUCUUUGGUGCAAGGGUAGCCCUUUGGAGAGGGGAUGGAAGGACAGAUGGAUAUAUUUUUAUUUAAAAGUGAUGUAAAAGCAAAAGCUAUCAAUAAAAAAUUUUACUUAAAGUAG